CUUCCCCGCCCGGGCUCGCCUCCAGCCCCCUUCACAUCUCGGAGCAGAAGCGCGUUGUGCACUUCCAUAGCCAAUGUUUCCAUUCUUGAUUUGAGUCAAAAGGGUCUUCCCUUUUGACUGUGAAAACUCCUCCGGUGUGACACUUUGGGGUGUCCCAGCUCAAUCUGGGCCAAGCAGAGGAGCUGGAGGCGCAGAACGGGAGCUCCUGCCACGGCCUGGGCCGAGUUGAAAGGACACCUUUAAACACCUGCCACGGUCUGAGUUUGAAGGACACCUCUAAACACCUGCCACGGCCUGGGCUGGGUUUGAAGGACCUUUCCCCGAGCUCCCAGCAAUGCUCACAGAUCGGGGGGCUCCGAAGGCCCCACAUGGGCUCCCCCGGCUCUCAGCUGAGCCCGGCCUUGCAGUGGUUCACCCCGCUGAAACACCUCAGGCUGCAGCUCAGCCUGAAGGGAGAGCCAGCCUGGGACCUGCCUCUCCUUCACCCUUCCUGCUAGCCACCCAGAAAUUAUGCAUUAAUUAUAUCCUUAUGGAUUAUCUGGCGAUAGAAACCUCCACAUCUACUCUCCAUCCGUCCACAGAAGAGUAGCUGGCAAUGUUUUGGCCAUAGUUGUCUUUCAAAUGUGACUUUUCCCUGAGUAUCUUGUGAGAUUUUUCACUAAGUCACAUAAUUUGUGCACCCUCUGAUUGGAGGCUGAAGCAAUAAGAAAAAAAUGAAAAUCAAAGUGAUUUCAAGACAGCUGCACCAAUUUCUCAUUAAAAGAUACUUGAAAAUAGCUGUGUGGUUUUAACUUUUUGGCAAACUUCCUUUUGGACAAAAUUCAUUUACUUAAACAUUCACAGAUAUUAAAUUACACGAGUCACAGAAGGAAUUAAAGUGAAUGCACAGGGAUAGAUAUUAGCUGUUGUAAAGCAACACUACUCCAGAGACUUCUGAUUUGCAUCAGUUAGGAAUUUGGCGAGCAGGUUUUAUUUGGUUCAAUGUUCAUAGAAGAUUUCCCAUUCAACCAGAUUUACUAGACCUUGUUAAAAUACUCUUUAACAAUUUUAGAUAGGAAGCUCUAUGAAGCUCUAUAAACCACUAACUCUUUUUUUUUUUUUUUUUUUUUUUGGGUGUAAGAGAUGCUACACUUGCAAAGAGAUUUUUUUAUGAUUUUAAGGUAGGCUCCAGCGUGAGAAAGACACUAAAUAGCAAAGACAGAUUAAAGUAUCUUGAUCAUCAACAUCCACUCAGUGUAAGAAGAAUAAAGGAGCAUUUUAUGGAUCCCCAUCCUUUGCUCGAAGAGAGCUAAUGAAAAUGGAAGAUGCUGCAGCAACUGGGUCUUCAGUGUUAUGGGACGUGAAGGUGGGUAGGAUGCUGGGACCAACAAAUCAGGUGAAGGAAGGAUUGGAUGAACUCUGACUUGCCUGCUGUAUUGCUGUCACUCACAAAGACAAACUCACUGGCAUUUUGCUCACAGAAGAAGUUUUCUAACAUGAGUCUCCCUUUGGCACCAGGGCUGCAUCCAUCACUUCUACUCCCAGGGCGUGAUGAGCUCAGACUUACUGAAAACUGGUCUAAUGGAAAUGGUGGUUUCAAGCCCUGCACAUCAAUGGGGACCAUUUCAGAAUGCCUCCAGGACACGCUGUACAGUUGUGCUAGGACAAACUGCAUGAUGAUUAACCUCAAAAACAUGUCUAAUGCAGGCAGAGUCCUGGGUAAAUCCUCUCCUUGAAGCACAGUCAGUGCUGCCUGGCUGGGGAUGCUGUCUUUUUGUCCAGAACAGCCCCAUAUAGCACAAUCAAAUGUGAGUAACGGGUGGGUAAGAAGGCUCUUACAUCCACCCAAAUCCUACUCCGGUCGUAAGUAUCCUACCUGCUGCUUAUCCAGAGUCUCAUUUUCAGCAGGAGAAGCCAAACCCAGCAGCUACUACAAAACUGCCUUGCAUCAGUGUCUCAGGCUCGUGGGGGAGUGGAACUGCAGCCCUGAUCUGCUCAGGUUUGACUCAAUGUCCUGUGUUAUCUGAAUCACUUCCAUGCCAACAUCACACACCAGGGAUCGCCAUCCCUUAGGUAAUCACCUGACCCCCAGGAGGAUUCUGUGCUCUAAGGCACAGAAAUUCUUGAUGUUUUCUUUGUGCAAGUCUGCUUGUCUAAGUGGGAUGGCAGGACUGUAAAACACUGAGUGUCUGUAACUCAUGUCUCACGCCCACUAACGUGGACCAGAAGCCAACAAUUGCAGCACCAGUAAAAUCCUUGCACUGCACCAAGGUUUGUGAAUACAAACCCACGGCUGCAGCCCCCUCUGCCAUAAACAAACACACUGCUGAGGAGC